UUAAACCUUGUCUCUCCGAUCCUCUUCUGUUGUGAAAGGAUUCCGGACUCUCUUAUCUUGCUCGAAAGAGGAUCCUGAAUCCUUCUCCAUCAUCAGAGAGGAUCCUAAGUCCUCUUUUGUUGUUCGAUAGAAUCUUUCAUCUUCUUUUGUUGUGAGAGAGGAUCCUAUUAGAUGUCAGAGUGGACCCUCAUUCAUUGUCAAAUGGUCGAGUGGCUGAGAAUAGCUGCUUCAACAGAAGUGGAGCCUCAUUGAAGUGAAAUGGGGAUCUAAUCAGUAAUCACUUCCAAUCAUCACAACAAUUUUGUCUCCUAAAUGUGACCUAUUACAUAUUAAAUAUUAUAUAUAUAUAUAUAGCUAGGUGACCAACUUGGUAAAUGGUAAUAAGUCACAUUUAAGAGGACAAAUUUGCUAAGGGAAGCAUUUGAAUAUUAAGAGACUUCUUUAAGUUUAAAAGAUUAAUGUAGGGGAAAAAUAAUAAAAUUUACUAUUAUUAGUAUCCAGUCCAAUUGGAUAAGAUUUCAGACAUGAUGUGAGAGUGUGGAAGGCCC